rnacentral:rRNA from 1 species
GGGGAUUUCUUGGACGGGAAUCGCGCGUAUGUGGGUCGCAAAAGGAUGUGAAUUUCCCAGACUCAACCUGUGAUCUGCAUCCAAACUACUGUUUUAUAUUAUGGUUUUGGUGGUGGAAUUUUUGUGUGCGGUGAAAUGCGACAUUAUGAUGGAACACCAGUGGCCAAGGCGACCACCUGGACUGAUACUGACACUGAUGUGCGAAAGCGUGGGGAGCAAACAGGAUUAAAUACCCUGGUAGUCCACGCCGUAAACGAUGUCUACUAGCCGUUGGGAUCCUUGAGAUUUAGUGGCGCAGCUAACGCGAUAAGUCGACCGCCUGGGGAGUACGGCCGCAAGGUUAAAACUCAAUGAAUUGACGGGGGCCCGCACAGCGGUGAGCUGUUGUUUAAUUGAACAACGCGAAGACCUUCCUGGCUUGACUGCGAGAACUUUCCUUAUUGGAUUGGUGCUUUGGAACUCGACACGGGUGCUCAUGGUGGUUCAGCUCUUUCUGAAUGUUGGUUAAGUCCGUACGAUCGUAACCAUAGCUUAGUACACUCCUUGGUGGCCACUAAGAGCUGCCGUGACAACUGAGAGUGGGGAGACUCAGCUUCUUUCUUUCGGCAUGUUACUACUUGCUCAAGUGGUUAAAGGUUGCAACCGUAUGGUGAACUUUUCUAUAUAACGA